GACGAACGCUGGCGGCGUGCUUAACACAUGCAAGUCGAACGCUGAAGCUCAGCUUUUGUUGGGUGGAUGAGUGGCGAACGGGUGAGUAACACGUGAGUAACCUGCCCCCUUCUUUGGGGUAACGCCCGGAAACGGGUGCUAAUACUGGAUAUUCACUGGUCUUCGCAUGGGGGUUGGUGGAAAGGGUUUUUCUGGUGGGGGAUGGGCUCGCGGCCUAUCAACUUGUUGGUGGGGUGAUGGCCUACCAAGGCUUUGACGGGUAGCCGGCCUGAGAGGGUGACCGGUCACAUUGGGACUGAGAUACGGCCCAGACUCCUACGGGAGGCAGCAGUGGGGAAUAUUGCACAAUGGGCGCAAGCCUGAUGCAGCGACGCCGCGUGAGGGAUGGAGGCCUGCGGGUUGUGAACCUCUUUCGCUCAUGGUCAAGCCGCAACAAUGGUUGUGGUGAGGGUAGUGGGUAAAGAAGCGCCGGCUAACUACGUG
rnacentral:rRNA from 1 species